ensembl:lncRNA
GUUUGCAGUAGUCAUGGCUGGAAGGCAUCCAAGCUUUUGUCAAAUUAACGUCAGAUUUUACUUUUCGUAGCAGGUUAUGAUAAUUAUGUUAAGAUUAGGAACAUGGUAAGGGUUAGCAAAAAUGUUAAUAAUAUAUACUUUUGACGUUAAUUUGACAAAUACUGGAUUAUAUAUAGCAAGGCCUGCUUGCAGUCUCAUCCAUGUGAGGCGUCAUCCGCGGUCCAACAAAGUAGGCCCUACCGUGUAAUUCUGAAGAUAUCCAUCAGAUGGCAAUGCAGCUUUAGCUAUUGGAAAGGAACGCUGCCACUACCUCGCUCUCCAACCAAGAGAGGGAGAGAGAGAGAGGAUAGUUACACCUGCUUGGCCUAUCAUUUUAAAGCCCUGUGCUGGGCUCCAGAGGGGCGCGCCACCGGGGUGGAGCCACUGCUGAAGUUCACCUGAUACAACUUUGAUCUUCACCAGCGGGGGUGGAGAUGAUUUUAUUUAAGGUGUCUCAGCAUCUCCGUGGCAUUGCGCUGUGUGAGGUACACAGUGAAAUUGCAGGUUUAUUUGCGCUAUGCUGGAUGUGUGCCCUUUCUCGCAAGUGCACACACACACUAAACACACACACACUAAACACAAACACACAGAUCAUUGAACCCCUCUUGGUUCUGCUCCAUCCGGGUUUUGCCCACAGCUGCAGUGUUGUAAAGCUGCAGCUCAGUGUGCCCACCCUUUGGCUGGAGAAACGUGCCUGCAGGUACCAGUACUGGUACUGAUACCAUAUCAGUACUGGAGGGCCUCAGGGCUAGUGCAGCACAGGUAAUAUACAGUCUUUGUCUAUAUGUUCACUCAUCCUCUCUGCCUGUCUGAUUCUGCCAUGUUGGUGACAUGGUGAGUGCUGAAGCUGUGCAGCUGCUGGGCUAGGGGCCUGCUGGACAUAGUGAGGAGAGGAGAGUCUUUGUUAUGGAUGACCACAGACUGUUCUCAUUUAUCACCUAUAUACUGUUAUACUAUAUGUGGCCCUUAAAGCAUCUCAACCAGCUGAAAUAGGCUGACUCAAAGGAAUACAGUAUCUCAAAGCUUAGACUUUCUGUUAUACAGUAGGCUCAUGUAAUAUACUUUAUACAUUUUCUGUUGUGAGUGUUUCUGAUGCCACUUGGUAAAUUAUAUGCAUUCUGUGCUGUCGGAUUAAUUAAGAAGACGAUGUUGAUGCCAUCUACAUUAAAAUACUUUCUGUCUGGCAUCAACAGAACCUAAAACGAAGAAUAAGAGACAACAAACAUUCUCUCUGGUAAUUACAUGAAUCACAUACUGUAUGUAUUCUGAUUCACUGUAUAUUCAGCUAUGUUUAUGAUUGGGAUUACUAAAGCAUCUUUCUGUUGGAGCUUAAAGAACUCAUAAUGUUUCAUUUCCAGUCAACAAUAUGCUAGUGUUGUCUUAUCAGUACUGGAAUAGCGCAAAUCGUCUGAAUAGUAUGUUGGGUACAUUGAUAUACUGUAUUGUAUGUGUAAUCAAACACUCUGAGUGUUUGUGUUAGUCUCAGAUAAGAUACCACUGUUGAAACAUGACAAACAGGUCCAAACAUUACA